rnacentral:rRNA from 1 species
GAUGAACGCUAGCUACAGGCUUAACACAUGCAAGUCGAGGGGCAGCAUGGUCUUAGCUUGCUAAGGCCGAUGGCGACCGGCGCACGGGUGAGUAACACGUAUCCAACCUGCCGUCUACUCUUGGACAGCCUUCUGAAAGGAGGAUUAAUACAAGAUGGCAUCAUGAGUCCACAUGUUCACAUGAUUAAAGGUGUUCCGGUAGACGAUGGGGAUGCGUUCCAUUAGAUAGUAGGCGGGGUAACGGCCCACCUAGUCUUCGAUGGAUAGGGGUUCUGAGAGGAAGGUCCCCCACAUUGGAACUGAGACACGGUCCAAACUCCUACGGGAGGCAGCAGUGAGGGAUAUUGGUCAAUGGGCGCAGGCCUGAACCAGCCAAGUAGCGUGAAGGAUGACUGCCCUAUGGGUUGUAAACUUCUUUUAUAAAGGAAUAAAGUCGGGUAUGCAUACCCGUUUGCAUGUACUUUAUGAAUAAGGAUCGGCUAACUCCGUGCCAGCAGCCGCGGUAAUACGGAGGAUCCGAGCGUUAUCCGGAUUUAUUGGGUUUAAAGGGAGCGUAGAUGGAUGUUUAAGUCAGUUGUGAAAGUUUGCGGCUCAACCGUAAAAUUGCAGUUGAUACUGGAUAUCUUGAGUGCAGUUGAGGCAGGCGGAAUUCGUGGUGUAGCGGUGAAAUGCUUAGAUAUCACGAAGAACUCCGAUUGCGAAGGCAGCCUGCUAAGC